CUCCAGAAUCAGUUUCUGAUUCUAGAUUCUAGAAAUAGACAGUUGAGGGGAGUGGAGAAAAACAGGAAAAAUACAGAACCAGACUGAAUGUAGGCCAUCCUUGAGUCUACAUGCCUAAAAUGGAAAGAGGAAAAACUACAAUCAUUGAAGGGUUGGCCGCUGGAGUGCAGGAGCCCGGGUGUCAGCGCUGCUCACUUGUCUCCAGCCAUCAAUUCAAGAAAAUUGCUUUCAAUUCAGAGUCGAUAACGGAAAAGAUGAGCAGGUGCAAGCAGGCCAGUUCUUGAAGGAAGUCCCCAGCUUACCCAGGAGCUCUGGACCCAUGGGAAGGUCCUGAUGACGGGGAAAUUGAAGAAGUUAUAGCAGCAGCAGCAUACAGAGGUUUUGCAGGAAAACAGUAGGAGGAGCCCAAGGUGGAUGAGGUAAUCAGUACAAGCAAGAUUAAGGAAAUCUUGAGGAUUUGGGGAAAAAAUUAAAUAGUUUAUUGAAAAGACACACCCAGGAAAAGUGGCAACAGAUCAUGCAUUGGAGCCGUGUAAUGACAAUUGUUUUACACAUUAUUGUGUGUAGAGAGUAAGGUUAAGCAAUAGCUCACAAAA
rnacentral:lncRNA from 1 species